GACGAACGCUGGCGGCGUGCUUAACACAUGCAAGUCGAGCGGAAAGGCCCUUUCGGGGGUACUCGAGCGGCGAACGGGUGAGUAACACGUGAGUAAUCUGCCCUUGGCUUUGGGAUAACUACCGGAAACGGUGGCUAAUACCGGAUAUGACCAUGCUCGGCAUCGGGUGUGGUGGAAAGUUUUUUCGGCCAGGGAUGUGCUCGCGGCCUAUCAGCUUGUUGGUGGGUAAUGGCCUACCAAGGCUUCGACGGGUAGCCGGCCUGAGAGGGUGACCGGCCACACUGGGACUGAGACACGGCCCAGACUCCUACGGGAGGCAGCAGUGGGAAUAUUGGACAAUGGGCGGAAGCCUGAUCCAGCAACGCCGCGUGAGGGAUGACGGCCUUGGUGUAAACCUCUUUCAGUACCGACGAAGCGCCGAUGAUGGUGGUGACGGUAGGUACGAGAAGAAGCACCGGCCAACUACGUGCCAGCAGCCGCGGUAA
rnacentral:rRNA from 1 species